GGAUUGCCCUAGUAACGGCGAGUGAAGUGGCAACAGCUCAAAUNUGAAAUCUGGCCUCUAGGCCCGAGUUGUAAUUUGCAGAGGGUGCUUNGGAGUCGUCCCGGCCUAAGUUCCUUGGAACAGGACGUCGCAGAGGGUGAGAAUCCCGUACGCGGCCGGACGCCUUCUCCGUGCAAAGCCCCUUCGACGAGUCGAGUUGUUUGGGAAUGCAGCUCUAAAUGGGAGGUAAAUUUCUUCUAAAGCUAAAUACCGGCCAGAGACCGAUAGCGCACAAGUAGAGUGAUCGAAAGAUGAAAAGCACUUUGAAAAGAGAGUUAAAAAGUACGUGAAAUUGUUGAAAGGGAAGCGUUUGCAGCCAGACUUGGCGGUAGUUGCUCAACCAGUCUUUGCCUGGUGCACUCCUCUACCGACAGGCCAGCGUCAGUUUGGGCGGCCGGACAAAGGCGGCGGGAACGUGGCUCCUCGGAGUGUUAUAGCCCGCCGCACAAUGCGACCCGCCCGGACUGAGGACCGCAGUUUACGGACGCUGGCUUAAUGGCUGCCAACGGCCCGUCUUGAAACACGGACCAAGGAGUCUAACAUCUAUGCGAGUGUUUGGGUGUCAAACCCGUGCGCGUAAUGAAAGUGAACGGAGGUGGGAGCUCAGGCGCACCAUCGACCGAUCCCGAUGUNUUCGGAAGGAUUUGAGUAAGAGCAUAGCUGUUGGGACCCGAAAGAUGGUGAACUAUGCCUGAAUAGGGUGAAGCCAGAGGAAACUCUGGUGGAGGCUNGCAGCGGUUCUGACGUGCAAAUCGAUCGUNGAAUUUGGGUAUAGGGGCGAAAGACUAAUCGAACCAUGGACNUACUAGGUGGUUCAGAUGUUGAGAACGUAGUCCCACGGGGCGACACUACCUAAUUGCGGGGACCCUCGACAGUCUGCGGCUACCAGAUCCCCACCGAGAGGUGCUGGGGUCCCCACGGUAAGAAUGCCGCGGACCGGGUGACCGCGCAGCCAACUCCGGGUGCCUCGCGUACCCGGACGCAGUUUACAGACUAGACGUUAGUGGGUACCUAUGGGUACUUGAGAUAUAGUCGAAGCACCNGUAGCCCGGGAUGCAAUNCACGAGCUAGUAGCUGGUUCCUGCCGAAGUUUCCCUCAGGAUAGCAGUAACG
rnacentral:rRNA from 1 species